AGGGGAGUGAAACAGUACCUGAAACCGUGCGCCCACGAGCAGUCGGAGCAACUUUUAGUUGUGACGGCGUGCCUUUUGUAGAAUGAGCCAGCGAGUCGCUGGCGCGGGGCGAGGUUAACCGGAAGGGAGCCGAAGCGAAAGCGAGCCUUAACAGGGCGACUUGAGUCCCGCGCCGCGGACGCGAAGCCGGGUGAGCUAUCCGUGGGCAGGCUGAAGCGGGGGUAAGACCCCGUGGAGGGCCGAACGCACGUCGGUUGAAAACGGCGGCGAUGACCUGCGGAUAGGGGUGAAAGGCCAAUCAAACCCGGAGAUAUCUCGUUCUCCCCGAAAUAGCUUUAGGGCUAGCGUCGCGCGUUCACCGCCGGAGGUAGAGCACCGGAUGGACGAGGGGGCUUCGCCGCCUACCGAAUCCAACCGAACUCCGAAUGCCGGCGGCCCAGAGCGCGGCAGUCAGAGCAUGUGGGCUAAGCUGUGUGCUCGAGAGGGAAACAGCCCGGACCGCCCGCUAAGGUCCCCAAGUUCCAGCCGAGUGGCAAAGGAUGUGCGUCCGCCCAGACAACCAGGAUGUUGGCUUAGAAGCAGCCAUUCAUUCAAAGAGUGCGUAACAGCUCACUGGUCGAGUGGACAUGCGCCGACAAUACACGGGGCUAAGCUGGACACCGAAGCGGCGGGAUUUUAAUUCAUUAGAAUCGGUAGGGGAGCUUCCCAUGGGCGGGGAAGCCGCCGGGCGACCGGCGGUGGAGCGCAUGGGAGUGAGAAUGCUGGCAUGAGUAGCGAGAGACGAGAGAGUAACUCGUCCGCCGUGAACCCGAGGUUUCCUGGGCAAGGCUAAUCCUCCCAGGGUCAGUCGGGGGCUAAGGCGAGGCCGGCAGGCGUAGCCGACGCGCAGCAGGCAGACAUUCCUGCACCGCGCACGCGGCGCUACGACCGACGGGGCGACGGAUGGGGGUGGCUCGGCGGGGUUCGGGACGUCCCCGUGAUGGAGCGCUGCCCGCGGACCAGGGAAAUCCGGUCCGCACGAGGGCGAGGCUCCGGACGAAGCACUUAAGCGAAGCGAGUGAGCCCGAGGUCCCUAGAAAAACCCCUAGGCAGGCGCGUGCGCGCCCGUACCGCAAACCGACCCAGGUGGGUGGGUAGAACAUACCGAGGCGAUCGGGUCAACCAUGGUCAAGGAACUCGGCAAAAUGGCCCCGUAACUUAGGGAUAAGGGGUGCCUGGGAAACCAGGCCGCAGAGAAUAGGCUCAAGCAACUGUUUAGCAAAAACACAGGUCUAUGCGAAACCGAAAGGUGAGGUAUAUGGGCUGACGCCUGCCCGGUGCUGGAAGGUUAAGAGGAGAAGUCAGGCAACGAAGCUUCGAAUUUAAGCCCCAGUAAACGGCGGCCGUAACUAUAACGGUCCUAAGGUAGCGAAAUUCCUUGUCGGGUAAGUUCCG
rnacentral:rRNA from 1 species